rnacentral:rRNA from 1 species
UACGGAGGAGGCAAGCGUUAUCCGGAAUUAUUGGGCGUAAAGCGUCCGUAGGUGGUUGACCAAGUCUGCUGUCAAAGGGUGGGGCUUAACCUCAUAAAGGCAGUGGAAACUGGUGAGCUAGAGUGCGGUAGGGGUAAGGGGAAUUCCCAGUGUAGCGGUGAAAUGCGUAGAGAUUGGGAAGAACAUCGGUGGCGAAAGCGCAUUGCUGGGCCUGCACUGACACUGAGGGGCGAAAGCUAGGGGAGUGAAAGGG